GACGAACGCUGGCGGCGUGUUUAACACAUGCAAGUCGAACGGUGACCUCGAGAGCUUGCUCUUGAGUGAUCAGUGGCGAAAGGGUGAGUUACACGUGAGUAACGUGCCCCAGAAUCUGGAAUAACCCCGGGAAACCGGAGCUAACACCGGAUACGACGUAGAGCUGCAUGGCUAAUACUUGGCAGGUUUUUCGGUCUGGGAUGGACUCGCGGCCUAUCAGCGGGUUGGUGAGGUAACGGCGCACGAAGGCGACGACGGGUAGCCGGCCUGAGGGGGCGACCGGCCACACUGGGACUGAGACACGGCCCAGACUCCUACGGGAGGCAGCAGUGGGGAAUAUUGCACAAUGGGCGAAAGCCUCAUGCAGCGACGCCGCGUGAGGGAUGACGGCCUUCGGGUUGUAAACCUCUUUCAGCAGGGAAGAAGCGAAAGUGACGGUACCUGCAGAAGAAGCACCGGCUAACUACGUGCCAGCAGCCGCAGUAACAC
rnacentral:rRNA from 1 species